rnacentral:rRNA from 1 species
AUUGAACGCUGGCGGCAGGCCUAACACAUGCAAGUCGAACGGUAACAGGAAGAAGCUUGCUUCUUUGCUGACGAGUGGCGGACGGGUGAGUAAUGUCUGGGAAACUGCCUGAUGGAGGGGGAUAACUACUGGAAACGGUAGCUAAUACCGCAUAACGUCGCAAGACCAAAGAGGGGGACCUUCGGGCCUCUUGCCAUCGGAUGUGCCCAGAUGGGAUUAGCUAGUAGGUGGGGUAACGGCUCACCUAGGCGACGAUCCCUAGCUGGUCUGAGAGGAUGACCAGCCACACUGGAACUGAGACACGGUCCAGACUCCUACGGGAGGCAGCAGUGGGGAAUAUUGCACAAUGGGCGCAAGCCUGAUGCAGCCAUGCCGCGUGUAUGAAGAAGGCCUUCGGGUUGUAAAGUACUUUCAGCGGGGAGGAAGGGAGUAAAGUUAAUACCUUUGCUCAUUGACGUUACCCGCUGAAGAAGCACCGGCUAACUCCGUG